UCAUCGACAUGUUCUUCGUUGAAUGAUCUUCAAGCUUGUCUUCAUGUUGGUCUUCAUGUUUGUCUUCAUCAAAACAUAGAUCAAUCUCCAAUGGUGCACUUCACUUUCAAGCUUUGCUCUUAACUCGAAACUUAUCGAGAUUAGUUCUUGUGGCAUUCAUAGACUUAUCACCAUUGGUGUUGCGCCUUAACCUCGUUCUUAUCAAGGAUUCUUCCUUGUGGCGAAUCUUCUUGGCUUAUCAAGCUACUUUACUUAUGGCGCCUCCAUCUUCAUCCUUUUCCACUUUCUUUUAUACAACACAAACACAUAAAAUUUCAUAAACAAAAAAUAAACACUACUUCAGCCCAAAUACGAAUUCCAUACACAUUUCACCUAUAAUCAUAAACAAAACGUAGACGUUCAUAAAAAAUGUUAUUUCACGAGUAAGUUGAGUUUCAAGCAAGAACGAUCGGUAAAGAAAGCAAAGCAUCCCCUGGAGGUUCGCAUCAAGUGGUAUCAAAGCCACUUCUUGCUUGAAAGGUCUGACUCAUGUCGCAUGGUAAAUCUUGCUUGGUGAGAAAACUUUCGAAAAAUCAAGUUGUGGAAGAUGAGGUCAACCAAAGGGACAACAUCUUUCAUUCUAUAUGUUUGGUCCAAGGUAGGGUAUGCUUAUUUAUAAUUAAUAGUGGCAGUUCUGUUAACAUGGUGAGUUCAAGAUUAGUCUCAAAGUUAAAUCUUGUGACUAAACCACAUUCCACACCUUACCGGCUUCAACGGUUAAGUAAAGUUGGAGAAAUAAUUGUCAAUGAAUUAGUUGAUAUUUCUGUUAGGUAUUAGUGGUUACAAUACACCUAGAAGGGGGGGUUGAAUAGGUGUAGCGGUUAGAAUAGCCGCUUUUUGAAACUCAACACUUAAUGCUGAAUCACCCCUAAUUAAUCGAUUACAGGAUGAAGAUAAUCGAUUAACAGAACAAACUUAAUCGAUUAAUAGAACAAGGAUAAUCGAUUAACAAAACAGUCUUAAUCGAUUAAACAGAAACAAUAAGCUAUUACAGAAACAAUUAAUUGCACAACAAUUAACCGAUAAUGGAACGAAUAACAGAACUUACAAAUAUUAUAUCAGAGUAUCAUUCAGUAUAGCACAAGUACAAAAUGUAUCAACUAAUUCCACUAUACCAAAUAAUCGAUUAAAAACAGUAAAGAGAGAGGAAAAAAAAAAUCCUGCAACGCGAAUUUUUAUCCUGGUUCGUUUGCUAUCCACUGCAAAUUACAUCCAGGCCUCCCGGCUGACUUGGGAGAUUUCCUUCACUAUAAUUGAAUGAAUGUAUUUACAUGCACAUCAACCAAUUACAACACUUAGAAAAAUUACAAGAAAAUAAAGAAACCUAUCCAAUGGUUUGACUCCCUUCCUACCGACAAAGAAAACGUUUCUUUCGGUGUAGCCCCAGCCAACAAUCUCUGUUCUUUCCUUUUCUAAAACUCUAAGCAAUUAUGAAGAAACACUCAAUUUCUAAGGUGAUAAGACACAACGAGAUUUCCUUGUUACAACAAUUAUACAACAAAAUACAAGAGUAAAAUUAAGCUAUUACAAAUCUCAAAUAUAACAAGAAGGCUUUACUCUAAAACACCUAAUACAAGUUCAUGCAAAACGACAAUGUAUUAGUGUGAAAACAGAAGUUACAGAAUCUANNNNNNNNNNNNNNNNNNNNNNNNNNNNNNNNNNNNNNNNNNNNNNNNNNNNNNNNNNNNNNNNNNNNNNNNNNNNNNNNNNNNNNNNNNNNNNNNNNNNUUCUAAACUCACAAAUGCACUUAACAACUAGAUGCAACAAAUAUCACGUAAAAUGCUCUCACUCUCUAAGAAAUGCAACUUAUGAGAUUAAUUCUGAAAAAGCAGUUUAUAAAGAAUCAGUUCAGAAGCCCAAUUAAUCGAUUAAAAGCACUCUUAAUCGAUUAACGUGAUUCAAAAACGUUAACUGAUUCUGUUUUUCAAGUUUUCANNNNNNNNNNNNNNNNNNNNNNNNNNNNNNNNNNNNNNNNNNNNNNNNNNNNNNNNNNNNNNNNNNNNNNNNNNNNNNNNNNNNNNNNNNNNNNNNNNNNAAAACAUGAAUAAGUCCUGAAAGCAACAACAACAACUAAAUCCAGAAAGUGCCAUAAGAAGAAAUAAACCUAAGGGUGAGAUAGCCUAGGUCUAAAGUCCUCUAAACUAUGGUUGAGGCGGAGGAUGGUCAAUCUGAUCAUCAGGAAUAGCAAUGUUCUGAUCACCCCUGAUAAGCACAGAUAACUUCUGAAGUUCUGAACAAAACAUAGCAUUCUGAGCUUCAACAUUGGAUUGAAUCAUGUUCCUCAGCUCCUGAAAUUUGUUGUCUAUAUAGGCAAACUGACGUUCUUCAUACUGCUUCAUGCCUACAAAAUAAGAAUCAUUCAACCCUUGGAAGUGGAGAUCCAUACGGUUGUUAAGCCGUUGCUCCAUAGCUUCCAUCUGAGCUAGACCAAAAGCAGAGUUCUGAGGUGCUGUUCCAGAAGACUCCCUCUGAGUUGUUGCAUUCUGAUUACCCAUGUCAUCCUGAUUAUCAUUAUCAGACAAAUCCAGAUCAAAUGUAGUGUAGUCCUCCUGAUAUUGCCAAGUAGUACCAUACUUGUAUAUUCCCAUCUUAUGAAUGAGACUUUCACCAACCAGGUGAUCUUUAUCAGUAUACUCAAUAAUGAUAGUAUCAGAAACAUCAAUGUGCAGAUAAUCGACAAUGCGAGAUAUGAAAAUACUAUAUGGAAGCAGCUUCGACUGAGACAAUGAUACACUGUUCAUAAUUUUCAGAAUCUCCUCAGGCCAGUUGAUCAUGACAUUAUUCUUUACAGCAUACAUGAAACGCAAAUCAUUCACAGUAGGCUGUGCGUGAUAUGUGUUCCUCUUACUAGUAUGUAAGCAAUAACGUAAUGCAACAGUCUGUUCUCAACAGAUAACGACCCAACUUUGAUUUGUUGAGAACAAGCUGUUGCAUUACAUUAUUGCUUACAUACUAGUACAGAAGAACACAAAUCACGCACAAUCUACUGUGAAUGAUUUGCGUUUCAUGUAUGUUAUAAAGAAUAAUGUCAUAAUCAACUAGCCCGAGGAGAUUCUGAAAAUUGUGAACAGUGUAUCAUUGUCUCAAUCGAAGCUGUUUCCAUAUAGUAUUUUCAUAUCUCGCAUUGUCGAUUAUCUGCACAUUGAUGUUUCUAAUACUAUCAUUAUUGAGUAUACUGAUAAAGAUCACCUGGUUGGUGAAAGUCUCANNNNNNNNNNNNNNNNNNNNNNNNNNNNNNNNNNNNNNNNNNNNNNNNNNNNNNNNNNNNNNNNNNNNNNNNNNNNNNNNNNNNNNNNNNNNNNNNNNNNAGCAACGGCUUAACAACCGUAUGGAUCUUCACUUCCAAGGGUUGAAGGAUUCUUAUUUUGCAGGCAUGGAGCAGUAUGAAGAACGUCAGAUUGCCUAUACAUACAACAAAUUUCAGAAGCUGAGGAACAUGAUUCAAUCCAAUGCUGAAGCUUAGAAUGCUAUGUUUUGUUCAGAAUUUCAGAAAUUAUCUGUGCUUAUUAGGGGUGAUUAGAACAUUGCUAUUCCUGAUGAUCAGAUUGACCAUCCUCCGCCCCAACCAUAGUUUAGAGGACUUUAGACAUAGGCUAUCUCACCCUUAGGUUUAUUUCUUCUUAUGGCACUUUCUGGAUUUAGUUGUUGCUUUCAGGACUUAUUCAUGUUUUGUUAUUUGUCUUUGAUUGACUUUAUGGUUUAUACUAUUUCCUGACUUCUUCGACUCUUUAUGCUAUGCUAUUAUUUUGUUUUUGAUUUAAUUAUGUCGAAUAGCUUAUUUGCUUUCGUGAAUGGUUCUUGAUCAUAUGAGAUUUGAUGUUGAUAACAUUGCUUACUAUUUGAUUAACUCUUGUAUGCCAUUCUCCUUUCAAAUUAGCUAUUUUUUCUGUCAAAUCAAGCGCAUUUGUUCAAUUUACCAAAAAAUAAAGCAGGUUAAUUUGUUAAAACCCAAAUUAAUUCAUUAACUUUGUUUUAUGAUUAACUAAUAUCUCUUCCUAGCUUUUUUGACAUGGGUUAUCUUUUUGAUAAUUUCAAAAGGGGGAGAAAGGUUGCUUUGUUGUUUUUUGAUUGUGCAGGUUGAUCGUAAUAACAGCUUCCGGUAUAUUUGCGCAUCAUAUCAAUCAUGCCAACGAUCUUCAAGCUUAUUCAUCAAACAAUUGUUAUUACAAUUGAUGAAGUUGAUGUAGUGUUUGUCAUCAUCAAAAAGGGGGAGAUUGAAAGUGUGCAUGUCAAGAGGAACACUUUGGAAAGCUCUCUUUAAAUGUCAUGGUUUUGAUGAGGACAACUUGUGCCUAUAAGAGCUUGAAGAUCAUCAACAAAUCAACGUGCUUAAGUCUUUAAUUGGUACUAGGCUUAGACUAGAAUCUAGUUUAAGUUGAGUCAAGGCUUAGGGCACCUAAUACAUGUCUCAUAUGCAUAUAUCUUUUAAAUCAUUUCAUCCAUGAGAUAUGUCAUUCAUAAUAUGUUCAUGCAUUACAUAAAUACAUGUAUAUGUGCAUUCCAGGCAUAAACUAAAUGUUAAACAUGUAUUAACUAAGUGCAUAACGUAUUUGAUGUUUUGUAUUAAAAAAUACACAUUUUAUUUACUGUUAAUCGAUUAACCAUACCUUUAAUCGAUUAACCCAACUGCUGUGAAAAGUGGUUGCUACUGGAACACGUUUUUAAAUGCUGUUAAUCGAUUAAGGCAUUACGUUAAUCGAUUAACCUAACUGUUUGUUAAGUUGUUGUAACUGAAAACUUGAAAAACAGUUUUCCAUAGGGAAGUACGAAGGUGUGGUUCUUUGUGAUGUGGCUCAUAUGGAGGUCAUCCAUAUAAUUUUAGGUCGUCAAUGGCAAUUUGAUAAAAGAACCAUACAUGAUUGUUUUUCAAACAAGUUCACCUUUUUACACCAGAAUUGAAAAGUAGCAUUGUCUCUAUUAUCUCCUAUGCAAUUAAAUGAAGAUCAACAAAUGUUGAGAGAAAACUUGGAGGAGUAGAGAAAUGAAAGGAUGUGUAAAAACAAGAGUGUGAGAAUAAAAGUGAGCUAGAAAAAGAAGAAAAAAUAAGUGUAGAAAAAAGUGUGAAAAUGAGAGCGAUGAAAAGAUUGAGGAGAAAAAUUCAAACAGAAUUAUUAGUGAGGAGGAGAGAAAAAUUCACGAGGGUGAUGGGGAUAGGAAAGAAAUUUAUUUUACAAAAAAAAAAGUGGGCUUGAUGAUGUUUUGAUUUCAAAACAAAUCUUGAACCUACUCCAUUGUGAGAAAUUUUUAUUUACUAACCCCUCUGAUGGAGGUCCAAUGUCAAUCUUUGUUCAGCAUUUUUUCGGGAAAUUGGUGAAUUCUUUUCCAAGGAAGAACACCUGAUCAUCCACCUUUAAGAGAGAUUGGUUUUUACAUUGAUCUUAAUGAAUAUAUUUCUAUGGGUGAUGUUGAUGUGGUAUAGGAAAAACUCUAUGAUGUAGAUUCAACUUUUAUGGUGAAAGGAGAAUUUUCUAAAAUUCAAUUUCUACCAAUCGAAAAAAUUAUGGAUGUUUGUCUUAUUGAUGAAUUGUUCAUUAGGGGUAUAACCCAUGAUGAAUAUGUAAAGAAUUGGUUCAACAAUUCAAAAAAGUGGUCUUUGAUCAAGGAGGUGAUGCUGCCUCAAAUUUGACAAAUUCUUUUCAAGAAUGAGGGUAAGAUGUAAACCAAUGGGGUCAAUCUAUGAUUUGUGGAGGACAAUCUUACAAGUCGACGAGACACUUAGAGUUUACAUUCUUGGAAGAAAAUUAUAAUAGUUUUUAGUUAUUAUUUUAAUAAAUUAUAAUAGUUUUUAGUUUAUCAUAAUGGUCCAAAAAAUCGCUGUAAAUGCUUGUUGGAGCGGCGGCGGGCUACGGUUUGCUGUCUAUAUAGUUGGAGCAAAAGAAGGACCCACUCCUCUUCUUCAAAGGUAAUGCCUUUUCUCCCUAAAUCUGCUUGUGACUGCAUGCGUUGUUGAGCAUGGAGGAGAUUUUGUUUCAAGGUGACUAGCAUCUUAGAUCUGGAUUGUAGGAUGUCACGGAUCUGUGGGUUUGUGAUGGACCCCAGAAGGUAGUCACAAAGAGUUGGUGGUACUCGACCAUAUAAUGCUUCAAAUGUGAGUUGAAGUGAGGAAUGCAGAUUUGUGUUGUGCCAAUACUCAACCAGAGGUAGAUGAGCAAACCAGCGGUUCAGGUGCAUACUAGUGAAACAAUGUUGGUAACUCUAUAAUCCCCUAUUUACAACUUCGGUUUUACCAUCAGAUUGAGGAUGGUAGGCGGUGCUAUAGCACUGGAAUGUUCCUAAGAGCUUAAACAACUCUUUCCAGAACCCACUAAGGAACAUGGGGUCCUUGUCCGACACGAUACUCUUCGGUACGCCGUGGAGUUUCCAUAUGUCGUUUAGAAAAUGACGAGACAAUGAUUAUGUUGAAAAUCUAGUCGGUAGAGCAAUAAAGUGAUAGUAUUUAGUGAGUCUUUCCACUAUAACCCAUAUCAUCGUGUGUCCACGGAAAUGAGGUGUUAUAAAGUCCAUAGAUAUGUCUUUUCAUACCUUCUCAGGUAUUUUUAGUGGAUGUAAUAGCCCAUGUGGUUUUUGUGGCAGGGACUUGUUGGCUUGGUAGAUGGCACAUUUACAGACCAUUUUCUUGAUGUCCUUUGUAACCCCAAGCGAGGAACAUGAAGCUGUAAGUCUGGCCAAGGUUGGUCUCCAACCAGAAUGUCCAGCUAUCGAAGAUUCAUGGAACUCCUUCAUCAAAGUGAGUCGGAGGUCAUCACCUUCGAGUAUGAAUAGUUUCUUUAGAUAGAACAAGAACCCAUGUGAAAAGUGAAACUAGUCGGAUGUAUGUUGUUGUAUAAUUGAUUGUCCAACUGGUGUAUGAUAAAAGGAGCACAGCUUGUCCAAAAGUUGAGGGGUGGAUGAGGUUAUGGAGAAACACUGGUCAAAUUCAUCUAAAUGACAUCGAGACAAAGCAUCAGCCACUCGAUUUGAGGUACUCGAUCUAUACUUAAUAUCAUAAGUAAACCCUAUCAGUUUUGUAGCCCAUUUUGUUGUUCUAGUGUGUGCAAACCCUGAGUCAUCAGGUGUUUGAGACUUUGUUCACUUGUGUAAAUGUUGAAUUUUCUGCCAAUAAGAUAUAGACACCACUUUUUUACAGAUUUUGUCACCACGAACAUCUCCCGGACAUAGGUUAAUGCAUGUUGCAUCCUUGGUGUCAUCUUCUUGCCAAAGAAGGCCAAAGGGUGUCCCCCUUGAGAAAGCACCGCACCGAUGGCAACAGUCGAGGCAUCGGUUUAACAUCGAAUGGCAAGGAGAAAUCUGGAAGAUGGAGCACUGCAGUUGUAGACGUAGCAUAUUUUAAUUUUGUAAAGGCAAUGUGUGCCUCAUUUGUCCAUGUAAAGCAUUGUAAUUUGAAUAGUUCAAUGAGGGGAGCAACGAGAGUGGCGUAAUUCUUUACGAACUUUCUGUAGAAGCAUGUGAGGGCCAAGAAACCCUUGAGAGUCAUGUGAGAAUGUAGUUGAGGCCACUCUUGCAUUGCAUGAAUCUUGUCGGGAUCUUGUCAUACCACCCCGGCUGAAAUAAUGUGACCUCAAUAACUAACUGUAUCAACACCAAACAGACAUUUGGAAAACUUGGCAUAAAACUGGUUAGUAACAAGUAGGUCCAAUAUAAUGCUCAGAUGUUGUAGAUGAUCAUUUAAGUUAGAACUAUAAAUGAGGAUAUCAUCAAAGAAAAUUAGAACAAACCUCCGAAAUGAGGCCUCAAAAGGUCAUUCAUUGCUGCUUGAAAAGUGGAGGGGGCAUUUGUUAGCCCAAACGACAUGAGGAAAACUCAUAGUGACCAUCGAAUGACUGAAACAUUGUUUUGGCAGUGUCACUUGGUUGCACCCUUAUUUCGGGAUAACCAAAUCGCAAAUCGAUCUUAGAGAAAAUGGUUGUUUUACCGAGCUCAUCCAACAAUUCAUCUAUAGUGGGAAUCGAAAAGCGACCAUAGAUAGUGAUUGCAUUUAGAGCCCGAUAAUCGACACAAUAUCUCUAUGUGCCAUCUUUUUUUAACCAGUAAAACUGGGGAAGAAAAUGGGUUGGUGCUAGAUGUGAUAAUCCCUUCUUUUAACAUGUCCUGGAUCAUUGUAGUCAUGAUUUCUUUCUAUGAGUGAGGAUAUCGGUAAGGUCAAACCAAGACCAAGGCAGAGUUAGGUAGUAGUGGAAUUCAGUGGUCGUGGGGCCGUGAAGGGGUAAGCCUUAGGGAUUGUGAAAAAUCUUGUCAAAUCUCGUGAGGAGAGUUUGAAUGUGGGGGCUGAUGGGUGGGGCAAUAUUGGUGUUAUAUGUUGGGUAGUUUAGUAAGAGGAAGAAUGUGAUUGUAUAGAAUGAAACAAUGGAAUCAGUGUGGAAGAGGCGGGAUAUUAGUGGAAUGUAGAAGGGGAAAUGGUUGUAUUGGGUUGACCUUGGAAGGUGAUGGUGUUUUCCCAUACCUUAAAAGACAAUGAUGGGAUAGCGAAGUCAGAGGUGACUGGACCCAGUGUUUGUAGUCAUUCAAUUCAUAGCACUACAUCGGCCCUUUCGAUAGAUAGCAAGUAGAAGGGAAUGUAGAACAAUUGAUUUUUGAGUUGUAUAGGUGUGUUGGAACACAAACCUAUACAAUAAAUAUAAACUCCAUUGCCUACCAUUACCGGAAACUUCGAAGUGGGAUCGAUGUCCAACUGUAGGUAUUGCGCGAAUCUAGGCUGAAUCACAUUAUGAGAACUUUCAGUAUCGACCAAAACUGUAACGGAAUGACCAGCGAUUGAACCUUGGAAUCGUAGUGUCUUGGGUGAUGGUUAGCCUUACAGAGCUUGUUCUGAUAGUUGAAAAUGAAUAAGCUCGUAAGGAGAAGGCUGAAUGUCUUCCUCAAUAGUUUCCAUGGAACACAAGAGUGGUUCAUCCGUUGAAUCCAAAUCGUUCACUAACAUCAUCAUGAACCUCUUAGGUUGGCAUUUAUCCCUUGAGUGGUAUGUUGUAACAUAGACCUUGGGCACACCACUCUUGCAUUUGAGCAAUAGUGAGACGACGUAUGGGUAAGGCAAGUUGGGUAGAUGGGGGUGUGGAAGUGGGGGCAAGUUGGUAUGUAGGUCGUGAGUAUUGUGGUUGAGGGUUGUGGGCUAGACAGGGUGUGUAGCGGCCAGGUUGUGUAAAAGUGGGUUUAGAGUCUUUAAUCUUAUAUUCUUCCAGUUUUGCUAAACCCAAGGCAUCGACAAUGUAAGAUGGGCGUAACAUUGCCAAUUCGCGCCUUAUCUCAGGUAUAAAGCCCGAUAAGAAACAAUUUAAGAUGACUUCAGGGGACAAUCCCCAAAUACGAUUGCAGAGUUUUUCGCACUACUGUUGGUAUUCGAGCAUCGAGCCCGUUUUUCGGAGCAUAAACAACUCCGCUUGGUAGUUUUCAUAGCAUAAAGGAUCGAACCUAGUCUCCAAGCAAAUAGUAAAACUGUCACAAUCUGUAAAAGUGGCAUCGUGAAAAGUCCACUUGAACCAGCUUAGGGCUUCUCCCUUCAUAUAAAAUGAAAUGAUAUGAAGACGUUGAUCUAUUGGAACCUGAUAUAGGUGGAAAAAUUAUUGAGCUUGGAACAACCAGUCCAAUGGUUCAUAUCCAUCAAAUGGGUUUAGCUAUAGCUUUGGGCUCUACGUUGUGUUGGUGAGAGGGGCAUUUGAGGUAAUUGUGGUAUGGGGUAUGGAUGAGUUGGGGUAAAAAAAAAGGAGAAACAGGGAAUUGUGUGUAAUUUGGGAAUUGGUUGGGGGAAUGUAGUUGAGGUGGUGGAUUUGAAAUGUUAGGAUUGAGGGUAGGCUGAUUUGGGGGUAAUAGAAUGUUAAGGUUAGGGUUGGAUACAUGUGAAGAUCCAGGUUGAUUUAGGGUCAAAUGGGUCGGCUCAGAGGGUUGAGGUGGUAGAGUGUUCAUACCUGUCGGUGAUAGAACGAAGAGCUUCAGUAAUGGAUUCAUGCUUGGAGUCUUGUUGCUCUUGGUGUUCCUUGACUUUGUCCGCAAAGAGUUGUAAAAGAUUGUCAUCAACAUCUUUAUUUGUAAGUUUAGGAGACAUGAUAUCAGGAAUGAAAGCACUAAAUUGAUAGGAUCUUACUAGAUAAUUGUUAUGAAAUUGUAGAAUUAAAAGGUAGAAACAUAAAUUAAAAGAUAAAUAUCUUCAUUCAUAACCUCCAUAUGACAAGAUGAUGGAAAUAAAUACAUAAACUAGAGAAAUUACGGUCACCACUACUAGACUUAGGCUGACAGUGCAGACCCAUUUAGUCUUAAAAGGAAAUAAAAUUGCAUAUUUAAUAUUUCAAAACAUAUUCAGAUUGCCACUUGGGUUUUUCCCUAACCCGUAUGGGCAUAGAUGGUUCUUCAUCAUUAUCCAUUGAAUUUGGGUUCCUAUCAUAAACAUUUUCUCUAUUUUAGACUAAGCCUAGAGUUUGAAGAUUUGUACCAGCACACUCCUGAGCAUCUGCCGAUUAUUAUUUGCUCAACUUUAAUUGAUUUAUACAUGUAUACAUAUAUAUAAUUAGUGAAUAUAUAAACUCUAUAUUAAUAUAUAUAAAGCUUUAAUAUUCUUUGAUGUCCAUCUUUUUUAUUUUACUAAAUUACCACUAAACAAGUCCUCAAUAACAUAGUUAUAUAUUGAUGUGUUUUCUUUUGUUUGUAGUUUUUAACUCAAGUUAAUUGCAUAUAUUCAGAGUUCACCUUGAUAGGGAUAAGACUACCGACUAGCAUGUGUAGGACUUUGCAAAGUAUGAAUGUGAAGGAACUAUACGACAUGUAGAAAAGUAAGGAUUGAUUCUCAUUACCUGGCCCUAGAUGUUGUUACUCUAUCCACAAUUGAAUAUGUACAUACAAAUAUGACGAGUGGGUGACCAUGAAACGGGUUGAGACAGGGUUGAGUCGAAUCAUGCUUGUUCAUUACCCGACACCAAAUAUUAAUUAGGUCUAAUUUUUUAACUCAAUCUCGGCUUUAGACCCAAUGAGACCUGACCAUAUUCAAGUCCAAUCAUGAUUGAGUCAAACUGGAUGAGCGGGUAGGGUCAGAUACUGCUCAUCUCUACCUUGGAAGAAAACUGAAGAGUCAUCCUAAGGUUCAGGGUAUAUGCCUAUUAGCAUAUCCUAACUAGAUGCAAAAGGGAUUUAAUUUGGAAUAAUCUUAAUGUAAGUAUGGUCACAACCACCAAAAAUGGGCUAAUUUUUUUGAAUUGAGGAUGGGUGGCCAAGAUUAAAAACUAGGACAACCACAAUCAUAGCAUGCUAAAUGUUUUUGGAAGACACCCAAAUUUAAAAUAAAAUCUAGUCAUGAAACAUCAAAAACAGAGCACAAAUAAUGAAUCAUAAAAGUUAGUUAUGGAAUAGAUCCGAAACAAGAACCUAUAGGCAUUCCACAUUAGAGGUUGGGGGCGUAUGAACUGGAUCACUGCCUGCACUCGUAACUUAAGUCAAAUUACUAUUUGCAAAUAGUCCGAACAAGGUGAGGAAAGACUUCGGACAUGGAACACAGUACAUGGAUGACUAUGUUUAGUUGCUUACUGUUCCAUACUAAAUAAAAUUAUUUAUUCUAUACAUAGGAUUUUAAAGGAGUAAUCCAUAUUGGGAUAUAUACUUAUGAUGGACAUACACAUAAUUGAACCUGAUUCACUAAUGAGGCGGCCAAUGUAUUUUUGGUACUGUAGUUCUAUUAUCUUAAUUUUUGUAUGCAUAUGUAACAGAUAUAAUAAUAUCAUAGUAGGUUUUUUUUGUCUUUUAUAAAAAAUAUAGAUUAAAAAAAGAACAUACUUCAAUUGUAGGAGGAUUGUUAUCAGACUAUUAAAUCAUCACUAUAUGAGCCAAAAGAAUGUGUACUUUUCUCUAUUAUACCUACAAGACUAAUACAUCUUUUCUUGUAUGUCUUUUCAACUACUUCAUUUAUAGUUGCACAAAAUUGCGCCAACAAAUGCAUUCAAGUCUAGCAGUUCUUUUCUUAAAAUUUAUCUAUAACCAAGACUUUCAGCUAAAGAUGUUUCUCAACUGCAAUAAAGCCUGUAAAGUUGGGGGACCAUUAUAUAUACAGAUACAACAUUCUUCUCAAGUCUAAGUGAAUGUUUGGUUCAGCUGAAAAUGCGCCAAACAUACUUUUUCUAUAGAGAAAUUUUCCAACACAGAACAAUAUUUGAUGGAACUCUAAAACUUAUUUCCAACUAGUUGACAAUUUUCCAACAUAGAACAGUAUCAAAAAAUUAAAGAAAUUAAACAAUAGCAAAACAUAAAUUAAGGUACUGUUAAAGAUUUUUACUACAUAGGAUUUCAUUUUUUAUUGUUGUAGAACUUCAAUGGAUGGAUCUAAUUUCAGAAAAGGAGAUAUAGGACCAGGUCAGAUUUGUAGAGGUUUAUAGUGAUGAAGCUAGAUUAUGAUAUUGACACCCAAAUUAUGUAUUUAAAGUCACUGUUAACAAAUCAUUGUUUUACAAAAUCAUCUUCGGUGAACAAGAAGUGUGAAUAAACACAUGAUAGUGUCAAUAGACUCAGAAGCAGCCAGUGUUGAAGUUUCUUGUGAACAUCGAAAGUCAAGAUAUCUAAUAUAUAGCAAGCACUCAGACAACAAAGGACUAAGAUUGAAAUAUAGUGAGAAAACAUAGAUUCUUUGUGGAAACUAGAGAAUGAAGACUACUCUCCAAAACAAGAAAGGUCUACAAAAUUAUUUAAGGGAAAUAGAUACCACAACUACGUAUUAGUAUCAAAAUAUUAUGUUAACCCUCAAAACUUCAAUUCAAGAUGUCCUUAACACAUGUGUUGAAUUUAUGGAAAAUGCUUAUGGGCUGCCACAUUAGCAGCAAUUGAUACACCACCUUUACUCCUAUCCAACAUAUUUUCCACACAAUCUACGGAAAAGUGUGAUUGAGAAGCAGCUUUAGAAACAAAGAUUUGAGUUAUUUCCAACUAGUUUGAGCACAUAAACACUUGAAGUGUUUGAAUCAGAAUCUAAUUGGAAACUUAUUUCCAAUUAUUUCCAACAGUAUUAUUUAAAAAUUAAAUUCCAUUACCAGUGAAAAAUGCAGAAAUCAGAAUAAACGGGAACCAUAGUACCUCUUUUAGGGCUUCGAGAGGGAGAGGAGAAAACGGGAACUGCGAGAGGGAGAGGAGCAAACGAAACCUUGAGCAAAUUGGAGGAGAUGGGAGGAAAAGGGUUUUGAGAACGGGAAAUUAUUUUAUGAGAUGAACAAGUUGGAUAAUGGGAAGAGCAAAUUGAUUAGGAUGAGAGUUAAGUUGGAGGGGGUUUUGCGAACCUUUUUGAGUUAUAAAU
rnacentral:lncRNA from 1 species